CAGCUGGGCUCAGUUUAGAUGAUCCCAAUUUUGUUGGCGACACCCAAAACAUGAUAGUCGGAGGCAAACAUAUGCCUUCUCCUCUCCAUUGAGCCUGGUCAGGGUGUUGACUAGGCCAUGUCCAUGUCAAAGAGCUUCUUCACUGCCUAUUUGAUCUGGUGCUCGUUGGCCUUGAUGUCUACAAUAAACACAAGUAUGCUGUUGUCUUCUGUUUUCUUCACAGCUGAAGACAGUCAGGGGGUCAGGAUGAACUGAUGGCAUAGUGGUGAAGCUUCUUUCCCCUGAUGGCAUUCUUGGGCUGCCUCGGGAGAUGCAGUGUCUUGGGCCUUCGGAAGGUGGGCAACAUUUGGAUUUUCUUUAUUGGUGACCGUUGAUGUCUUCCAGCACUGCUUUCUUGGCCUUUAAAGCCUUUGCUUUGGCUUUGGCUUUGGGAAGGACAAGGGCUUUCUCCUUUGGUUUUGGCACCAUCUUUAAGAAAGGG
rnacentral:lncRNA from 1 species